GACCCUGAGAUCAAGACCUGAGCUGAGAUUUAGAGUCGGAUACUUAAUUGACUGAGCCACCCAGCCUCUCUUGCACAUAUGAUUCUCGCCAAUGAAAGGCUUUGACCAAGGGGAUGCCUCUGUUCCAGUCUCCACCUCCUGCACGUGACAUUGUUCUCAUUCAUCCAGAUUCUCCAUGUUUACGAUGCUCUUUACCUUCUGUCCUAAAUUGUUGUUUACUAUGUUUUCCUGCUGCUAAAUUCCUUGCUGCAUUUCUCCCUGGAGGUAGUUGUAUACUGAUAAUGGUUAAAAUAAUUCUAUAUGUAAAAUAUGCAUGGAAUAUGUAAAUAUUUGUACUUUAACACAGGAAUAAAUCUAAAUUAAAAUGUAUAAAUAUAUUGUUUUCAGAACUCCUUGCAAAUGUUUCACACAGUCAAAACUCCUUUUGAAUAUGGAGUUAAAGAUUGGACACAUAGUUGUAAUUAUUUAUUAAUCAUACAUCAUACAUUUAAUAUUCCCCAAGCUGCCAUAAAAUGUCUGAGGAGACGUGCUGCUAAGAAUAACUUGCUCAGCAUUGCAGUACAAUGCAGACAAUUUUCCACAGGGAAAGAAAAAAAGAAACAUAUCUUUUCACCUAUUGCCAAGCAAAUUGCUAACGAUUUUGCCCAUUUGAGCUGAGAAGUAAUUAGUGGUAUGGGAUAGAGGCCAAGCAUAUCAAGAACUUGAAAAUGUGUUCCUACUUAUGUACUGAUAUGCCCAUUUUGGAUUUAGCUGUAUUUCUGUACAUUUUAUGAAUUUUCUUUAAUUCUGUCACAAUGUUAAUAUUGAUAACUUGCCUUUCUGAAAUAGCAAUUUAAAAAUAAUGAUCACAUUUUCUCUAGAUACAAAUUGUAAUUGUAUGAAUAAUAAUAAUAACAAACUAAGCCAAUUAGGUGCACAUGUUAAUUUGGGGAUCUGACAGCUUAAUCUGAUUUUUCUUUUUUCCAUAGUAACUAAGCCCUGAGCAGUACAGAGGCUCACACCAGCCUCAGAAUAUCAUAAUGCUUACAGCCAGUGGCAAUGGCUUAAUGGGCUAAUCCCUGGCAUCAAAACCUUAGCAGUAUUUUAAAGCUCUAAGUGUCUUCAAGGUCAUCUGAUUUACUUUUCCUGACGUGAUAUUUAAACAUUCAAAUGGUGGCCUAAUCCAAUAUUUCAAACCUCCAAGAUAGACUAAUAUGUCUCUCUAGACAGUUUUUUUCUAGGGUUCAACUACUCUGAAAGUGGAAUAAAUAUAUAAUUAAAUGUAUAAUUUUAUCCUCUGUUUCAGGAAGGAUGGUAAGUUAGCACAUGCCUACUUUUUUUUUUUUUUUUUUUGCAUUUGUGUAAUGUGAUAACUGGCAUGGGUCAUGGACAAGCAUAGAGCCUGAGAACCAGGGAAGUUAGAGAUCAGCUAUUCUGGACACUUGAAAGGCAGCCACCCAACCUGAGGGAAGAGGGACAGGAACAUGAUGGAAAGAAGUAGUCAUGAUCUCAUCAGGCAGUCAUGCUUGUAGUUACUGCCAUUUUAUAAGUGUAUGGUCUUGACCCUGUCUGCUGUUAAUGGUGAGUCAUUCUUGAAAAAAAAAAAAGGCAUAAGUUUAUUUAUUUUUAAAGAUUUUAUUUAUUUAUUCAUGAGAGACAGAGAGAGAGACAGAGAGAGAGAGGCAGA